rnacentral:rRNA from 1 species
GACGAACGCUGGCGGCGUGCUUAACACAUGCAAGUCGAACGGAAAGGCCCUGCUUUUGUGCGGUGCUCGAGUGGCGAACGGGUGAGUAACACGUGAGUAACCUGCCCUUGUCUUUGGGAUAGCUUCAGGAAACUGAGGCUAAUACCGGAUAGGAGCUCCUGCUGCAGGGUGAGCGUUGGAUAGUUUCGGCGGUUGGGGAUGGACUCGCGGCUUAUCAGCUUGUUGGUGGGGUAGUGGCUUACCAAGGCCUUGACGGGUAGCCGGCCUGGGAGGGUGACCGGCCACAUUGGGCCUGAGAUACGGCCCAGCCUCGAACGGGAGGCAGCGGUGGGGAAUAUUGUCCAAUAGGCGGAAGCCUGCUGCAGCCACGCCGCGUGCGGGAUGACGGCCUUCGGGUUGUGAACCGCUUCCGCCUGUGACGAAGCGUGAGUGACGGUAAUGGGUAAAGAAGCACCGGCUAACUACGUG